ACAUGUUUGAUUUGUGAUUCAUUGCUUCUGUGUAGGAAUUUGAGCUUUCGUUUCAGUGAACGUUUCCACUUGGAUUAUCUAAUGUGAAAUGUGUUCAAAGAAUCACAUCACUGUAGGCUAUGGAUGUGUGAACACACUCAGAUGAAGUCUUCUGUCAGUCAGCAGCUCUUUUGAUCAUCGACGCCUCCUCAAACUCCCACAGCUACACACAGAGCCGUGGAUAUGCUGAUAUGAUCACCCUGGCAACAUCACGAGCCACUGAGGGCAAAAACACCAGAUCUGCUUGAAGAUGCUGGUCUCUGUGAAAGUCAGUGCUGGCGCCCUUCAUCGUAUGGUAAUCAUCCUCGCUUGCAAAAAGGAGGGACGGCAGCCAAACAGGACUGGAUUUGAUCUGCGUCCAGGGCUCUACUGAUAACCCCAUCUAUCUUAGUUGAUUUGGCAAAAAUGGCCUCACUAAUGACACCAGAGGGGGUGGCA